AAGCUUACCCAUUUAAGCAGCAGUCAGAAAAGAGCUCAAAACGACAGUUUUCCUGUAUGGCCACUGUUGUGUUGUCUGGGACUGAUUGAUGCCAUUUUGGGAAAACAUGGCG
ensembl:snoRNA